CUGUAAGGGAGAGGGUCAUCGUAUGCACUGUAAGGGAAAAAUAGGGUCUAUAGUAGUGCACUUAUAGGAAAGAGGGUCUAUAGUAGUGCCACUGUAUAGGGAAGAGGGUCUAUAGUAGUGCACUGUAUAGGGAAGAGGGUCUAUAGUAGUGCACUUUAUAGGGAAGAGGGUCUAUAGUAGUGCACUAUAUAGGGAAGAGGCUUAUCAGUAGUGCAUAUAUAGGGAAGAGGGUCUCUAGUAGUGCCACUUAUAGGGAAGAGGGUCUAUGU
rnacentral:lncRNA from 1 species